rnacentral:rRNA from 1 species
GACGAACGCUGGCGGCGUGCCUAAUACAUGCAAGUUGAGCGAUGAAGCUUGGUGCUUGCACCAAUUUGAAGAGCAGCGAACGGGUGAGUAACGCGUGGGGAAUCUGCCUUUGAGCGGGGGACAACAUUUGGAAACGAAUGCUAAUACCGCAUAACAACUUUAAACAUAAGAUUUAAGUUUGAAAGAUGCAAUUGCAUCACUCAAAGAUGAUCCCGCGUUGUAUUAGCUAGUUGGUGAGGUAAAGGCUCACCAAGGCGAUGAUACAUAGCCGACCUGAGAGGGUGAACGGCCACAUUGGGACUGAGACACGGCCCAAACUCCUAAGGGAGGCAGCAGUAGGGAAUCUUCGGCAAUGGACGAAAGUCUGACCGAGCAAAGCCGCGUGAGUGAAGAAGGUUUUCGGAUCGUAAAACUCUGUUGGUAGAGAAGAACGUUGGUGAGAGUGGAAAGCUCAUCAAGUGACGGUAACUACACAGAAAGGGACGGCUAACUACGUG